ensembl:lncRNA
GCUUAUAAGUCUGUCUCCAUCUACCCAGUUACCUAAGGUCCCUCACCCCUCAAUGCUCCCAAAUCAAAAAGAGUUGAUCCCAGAGGCUCCUCCAGCCUCUGCAGAAGCUGCUCAGGUCAACACCCACCCCAGCUGAGUUACUUAGUGGGGAGGAAAGAUGCACUCUAAUCAAAUCCCGGGAAAGACUUAAAAGAGUUUAGCAAGUUCUCACACUCAAGCUGCAUCCCAUUACCCUGGAGAGCUCAUUAAAGCACAGAGUUCUGGGCCCCUCCCUCGGAGUUUCUGAAUUUGCAUUUCUAACAAGUUCCCAGGUCCUGCUGCUGCCGGUGGGCCCAGAAGCUCACCUUGAAAAUCACUGGUGCUACAAAGGAGGACAAGAAGUAUGGUUACUGCCAUAGCAAGUUUUCCACCCCCAGGGCGAUCCCAGGUUCUAGAACAAACCUCAGCCUUGGCUGCUCCCUAACGAGGUGGUGUGGCUUGAGAAGCAGAGCUAAUCCCAGAGACAAUAGAGGAAGCUUUGUGAAGGGGAGAUCUCUGGGCUUGGAGACAUCAACACUCACCUUUUGCAGCCAGCCCCACCCUCCAUUCUGCAUAAGAGGAGAUACACUUCGAUUCCUGCUGCAGCAAGAUCCCACAUGCCUCGGAGCAACUAAGACCGUGUACCACCACUAUUGAGCCUGUGCUCCAGAGCCCAGGAGCUGCAAACACUGAGCCCACGUGCCACAACUAGUGAAGCCCACGUGGCCUAGAGCCUGUGCUCCACAACGAGAGAAGUCACCACAGUGAGAAGCCCACACACCACAACUAGAAUAGCCCCCGUUCUCUGCAACCAGAGAAAAGCCCAUGCAGCAAUGAAGAUUCAGUACAGCCAAAAUAAAUGAAUAUAAUUA